CAGCGGCCGAUUAUCUUGGGAUCACUAUUGCUCACCCAUACACGCAGCCACAAUAACUUUCGACUUGCAGAAUCAAUGCAGCCAUACACUGCCAAAGGGAAUGUUGAAUUCUGAUAGCCCAUUAACUUAUCGUGCCCGUCUAAGGAGUGCACCCAAUUGGGCCCCUUGGUGGUAAAAUUUCCCUUUCCACGAUUUGUUUUCUUAACACCAACCCCCCCGCGUUCUUGUAGACCUUCAGGAUCUAGCUCAACCAUAACAGCGUGAAUAAGAUCUCGUGGAACAUUCAAAUUGUGCUCUUGCCUGACCUUUUUAUGCAUGGCUCUAUAGCCAAGCAAUUGGCCAGGCCCAUUUAAUUCCUUCUGAACAGCAUUCUUGACUUGGUCAACUGUCACAUCUCUGUCGAUCCGUUUGAUGUUGAAUGCUUCAAUUCGUCUAUCAAGAGUGCGCAUACUCCAUGCAUACUGUGGAAAAUCUCUUUUUAGGAAAUCCAUAAUCUCAGCACGUUGGAGUCCUUCUCGUAUAUAUUUUGAAAUGUCCUCUUUAAGUUGUUCAUCUUCGAGCCAGCUACUGUUUCGAAAGUACGCCAUGUUUGCAAUACUGCGCUCGCAAGGCAUUCUGGUAUACUAUGGCAGCUCUAGGCCAUGUGUAAAUUUCAAUUUAUUUUCGAAUUAUUUUGUUUUAAUUUAAAUUGAAAAACAUUUCAAUUUGUUUUAAUUUUGUUUUACUUUUAUUUAUUAUUUUUUUAAAUUCAUUUUGUUUUUCUUUUUUGUUUAUAAUAAAUUCUAUUUCGUUUUUUUUUAUUUAUUUUUUUUACUGAAAUAUUGAAUGGCAGUUCUCGGCCACCAUAGAC